UCUGUUUAUUAUCCCUUUCUUUAUUUAACUUUUAAUUUAAAGUUUGGUCCAGUCAGUCCAAAGCCAAACUUAGGGUUGUGUUGGAUGAGCUGUCCCGACUCAUUUAUGUCGGUUAACCCUGUUGUUCCGGUUCACCUCGCCUACAAAUCCGACUGAAAAACGUCUACAGUUACGUCUUUCAUUCUAUGAUCCCCACUACUUGAUCUUCAAAGCGUUUUAACUUCGUAGGCCGCACAAGGACUAUAUAUGGAGCCGGUGUGAGAGGCUUACGGAUAUUCUUCCUUUUCAUCAGAAAUCAGGGAACUCCUAAUCUUACAAAGAAGAAACACAAAGUCGACGUUAGUCCAACCAUCCAUCAAUGUUCACCGGCUUAACACCUUCAAAAACCUCGAUUCGAAAGCAAGCUGACAGCUUGACUAUUACAGUAUCAUCGAUUGUGAUUCACAAACAAUGAUUUCCCAGCCCUUUGUCUCACUUCACAGUAAUUUUGUUACUCUUUAAUCUGACACAACAUGCUUAUUCGAUGAUUAUUUGAACGCCGUGGUUGAAUGGAGAUCAAAGGUAUCCGCAAUGCACUUCUUGCAUCUAGGCACAACUGGACCAUAAACUCUGAACUUAAGUUGGACUGCAUGUGUUUCUUGAUCUAAGACUCGAACCAUGGGUCAGGAACUUCUAACACAACGCUUAGCUAUACUCAUGAUCCUAAGGUUGCUCUCAUUGGUGAUUGAACUGGAGCUGGAAAGUUAAUCAUCAAUUUCCUCGGUUAUACAGUCAUUCCCAUCUCUAAUGUCGCCACUUAAAAUUCUAAAAUUCUUUGAUUAACAGGUGUUGAAAACAAAAAAGAAACCACCACCCGAUUUCACAUACUCAGUGAUUAUUGGAAGACUUUGCAUUGCCCAGAAAAUCGAAGUGGGACAUGGCUUCUGAAGAUAAUCCUGACAGAUAUCUCUAUUUGCUUCAGGAGUGGGAUGUCAGUUUAUCAAAAUAUGCUUACACCACACUGAUCAAGGAACGUUGUGUCCUAUUUAAGUCAUCUUCCGCUCUUCGAACCAAGCUUGAAGCAGUGAAAGUGAGAUUAGUAUUUCUAUCAUGGGAUCAUGAGUCAUGUUAUGGCGACAAUGACUCUCAUGGGAUCAUGUUUGGGGAAAUUAGUGAUGCUCAAGGCGGUAUCUUUAGCUCUAACGUGGUUGGGAACUAUCAAUCUUAUGUCGAAGACCCAAUCAAGAAACCACACAGCCCAACAAUGGAGUUGUAAGUGAACAGCCAGUGGCUAAACGGAGCUUGGAAUCUAUUCCAGAGAACAAAGGUGAUGCCAAAACGUCAAAGAAGAAAGCUUCCUCCACAGGCUUCCCUUCAAACGUCAGAAGCUUAAUAUCAACUGGUCAUGUUCAAAUCGAUUCAAAAGUUUGAGGACUCUCGCUUCCUUGGAUGUAUUAGACUGAAAAUUUUACUUUCCAUAGCAGCUCGAGCAUGUCAGAGCAGGCUGAGAUAUUUCAAGCUCAAAGAUAGCUUAGUUCGUUUGGUUUCGGCAAGAGAGACCUCUAGCUCAGUAUAUUUGCUCCAAGCAUAUGAAUUCUCAUGAUACCGCUGAAGAUAUUGCUCUAACGCUUUCUACACCUAUAUACUGUAUAUACUUCCCAGCAGGGUGUGAUCUCAAUGUAUUUUUUGAAUAUUUGUUUUCAGAAGAAGAAAAAAAAAUCACUAACUUUAAGUAUAUCAUGUAUGUGUUUUA